rfam:Gasterosteus aculeatus cont1.002858, whole genome shotgun sequence.
ACACUGGCUCUUUUAAGAGCCACACACACUUUAUCAUUGAGCAAA